rnacentral:rRNA from 1 species
GAUUAACGCUGGCGGCGUGCCUAACACAUGCAAGUCGAGCGGCAGCGAGUUUUACACUGAAUUCUGGAAGCUUCUAGUUGAAAGAGAAGAUUUAUUCAAGAAUUUUGUGUAAAAUGUCGGCGAGCGGCGGACGGCUGAGUAACGCGUGGGAACGUACCCCAAAGUGAGGGGUAACGCAUCGAAAGGUGUGCUAAUACCGCAUAUGGUCUUCGGAUUAAAGCCUUCGGGCGCUUUGGGAACGGCCUGCGUAAGAUUAGAUAGUUGGUGGGGUAAUGGCCUACCAAGUCGACGAUCUUUAACUGGUUUGAGAGGAUGAUCAGUCAGACUGGAACUGAGACACGGUCCAGACUCCUACGGGAGGCAGCAGUGAGGAAUCUUCCACAAUGGGCGAAAGCCUGAUGGAGCAACGCCGCGUGCAGGAUGAAGGCCUUCGGGUUGUAAACUGCUUUUAUAAGUGAGGAUUAUGACAGUAACUUAUGAAUAAGGAUCGGCUAACUACGUG